UACGUAGGGUGCGAGCGUUAAUCGGAAUCACUGGGCUUAAAGGGUGCGUAGGCUGUGCAGAAAGUUGGGUGUGAAAUACCUCGGCUUAACCGAGGAAUUGCGCCCAAAACUACUGUGCUUGAGGAAGAUAGAGGUGAGCGGAACUUAGGGUGGAGCGGUGAAAUGCGUUGAUAUCCUAAGGAACACCGGUGGCGAAAGCGGCUCACUGGAUCUUAUCUGACGCUGAGGCACGAAAGCCAGGGUAGCAAACGGG
rnacentral:rRNA from 1 species